CGUGGGCUCUUCCGAAUUGACAACAUAUAAUGGUUUACUGCUGUCAUUGUCCAUGCCUACAGAUAAUUUAUUUUGUAUUUGUGAAUAAAAAGACAUUUGUACAUUCCUGA